UACAGAGGUCUCAAGCGUUGUUCGGAUUCAUUGGGCGUAAAGGGUGCGUAGGCGGCGCGGUAAGUCGGGUGUGAAAUCUCAGGCUUAACUCCGAAACUGCAUUCGAUACUGCCGUGCUUUGAGGACUGGAGAGGAGACUGGAAUUUACGGUGUAGCGGUGAAAAUGCGUAGAUAUCGUAAGGGAAAGACCAGUGGCGAAGGCGGGGUCUCUGGACAGUUUCCUGACGCUGAGGCACGAAAGGCCCAGGGGGGAGCAAAACGGGG
rnacentral:rRNA from 1 species